CAAAUGGAUUACUUUGGUCUCACACAUAUAUAUUAUAUGUAUUUAAUUUUAAAAUUAUGUGGAUCGUCGGAUUGGUUGAGAUUUAAAUCUCAAAUCGUUGUUUUAUAAUUAACCCUAGUAACCUCACUCUCACCUCACCUCACCCUCACUGUCUCUCUCACCCGAUUCGCCUCCUCCACCCAAAUCCAAAUCGAGCCCUCCAUCUUCCUCUGUCCUCCCACAUCAGUGGGAUCACCCAAAUUCGUCGCCUGAAUCGUGACUCCACCCACACCGGUCCUCAAUCCUCAGUCUUCACUUCGUGAAUUCGUCCCCUGAAUCACGAUUCCACCCACUGUCCACACCACCUCGCCCAAAUCGAGCUCUCGGUCAUAGUCCUCACUCACUCCACCUCACUCCACAAGUUUCUCGAUGACUAGUUUGGUUGACCCGAUCCAACUCAUAUUGGAGCGGUUUGGGGCCUUGUUCUCUCUGUCUCCGCAACCUCAAAGGCCAUGCCCUUGUCACGCCCCCAUUGCCGGUGACCAUGAGCUGAAUGUAUUAUCUCCAACCCAAAAGUUACUUUUACAACCCGAAGUGAGGAAUAUGAAUCUUUGAGAUGGCUGAUCUGGAACUUGUAGAGGGUGGAGUUGUUAUAUAAGAAUCAUCUUAAAGCAAGUGGUGGAAAGACCCUUGAAGCAAAUAAGAGUCCUCCCACAAAGAUAUUCCCUUCUUACUUUCUUUAUCCCUUCAUUUUCUUUGCUCUUGUAAAGUGUGUGGCUUUUCUUUAUCUUUGCAUUUGUUAUUCAUGACUUCUGUGAGAGUCCAUAUACUGCAUGUCAUAUGAUUAAUUCGUGUAUG